rnacentral:rRNA from 1 species
AGCGAACGUUUGCGGCGGGCCUAACACAUGCAAGUCGAACGCACUAGCAAUAGUGAGUGGCGCACGGGUGCGUAACACGUGGGUAAUCAACCCUUCAGCUUGGGAUAACGACUUGAAAGGGUCGCUAAUACCGGAUACGGCGAGAGAGGCUUCGGCAUUUCUCGAGAAAGCCUCGCAAGGGGCACUGAAGGACGAGCCUGCGGCCCAUCAGCUAGUUGGUGAGGUAAGAGCUCACCAAGGCGAAGACGGGUAGCUGGUCUGAGAGGAUGAUCAGCCACACUGGAACUGAGACACGGUCCAGACUCCUACGGGAGGCAGCAGUGGGGAAUAUUGCGCAAUGGGCGAAAGCCUGACGCAGCCACGCCGCGUGAGCGAUGAAGGCCUUCGGGUCGUAAAGCUCUGUGGGGAGAGACGAAGAAAGACCCGUGAAGAGCGGGCCUUGACGGUAUCUCCUUAGCAAGCACCGGCUAACUCCGUGCCAGCAGCCGCGGU